GGGCUUGUACUGGUUUCGACGGGGGUUUAGAAGUUUGGGAAGCCAUCCGCAGACCGUGACUGCGUCAUCAACAUGGAAAACCUAAAUAUAAACGCAGACGAUCAGUUAGCGUACGCUGCUUAAUUGCAGCUGUCGACCCUAGGCCGCUCACAGCUUAGGACCUCGGCAUCGUGAAAGUGGGGAACUUCGUCUCCUAAGCUUUGCAGAGAUGGAAGAAACGAUGAAGCUACUAAGCACAUAAGCCUGUCUUUGGGCGUUUGUGUAAGGGAAUGUUAAAACAAGGACUAUGAUGGAAGAAACCUGGAUGGAAGGGCUUUCGGACAGGGGUUCGAUUCCCCUCAGGUCCAU
rnacentral:tmRNA from 1 species